rnacentral:rRNA from 1 species
CAAAAAGCUAGGUUUUGGGAGGACCACUGGUUUGGUUCUGCUCCUCUAGCUACUCAAUAUUGGGAGCUUUAUUCUCUUACUACUGAGCAAAAUCUAACUGUUGGUACAGUUUGGGAUGGCACUGACUUGAAAAUUACCUUUAGGGGAUGCUUCCUUGAAAAUCUUCUAAUGUUGUGGUUUGAACUGCUUGAGAUUGCUAAAUCUAUUAUCCUUUCCAACGAGGAAGACACUUUAGUCUGGAACCUCAAUUCUAGAGGAGUAUAUAUUGUUAAAUCCUUUUAUAAAAUAGUAAACUUCAGAGGGGUGCUCCCUGUGAAUACCCCAGCUGUCUGGUCUAUUAAAAUCCCUGCUAGGAACCAUAUAUUUCUCUGGUUGUUCGCUAACAACAAGCUAUUGACCAAAGAUAAUCUGCAGAAAAGACAGGAAGUCCCUGAUCCUACCUGUGUUUUCUGCACUGAACUUGAAUCCUACCACCAUCUAUUUUUAGUUGUGUUGUUUCCUUGGAGUUCUGGAGAACUGUUGCCAAGUUAA